rnacentral:misc_RNA from 1 species
GUUGAUAAUAAACAGGAAAUUUAUCAUUUACUAUGAAGUAUUGUUUUUAUAAACUUAUAAUAGAUAGAUCUGUAUAGAAUGGAAAAAAUGGAGUUCUUUUGAUGAUACAUGAAAAAUUACAUAUGUUAAAAGGGAAAUUUAAAAAAAAAAACUUUUUAUAUGAUCAGGCAGAAACAGUAAACUUAUAUUUCAGGCGACUAUUUUUAAGGACUGUGUAAUCUUUCUGAAUUGUGAAAAGUAUGAUAGAAAAUCAAGAGGGAUCACAAUUACAAAUAGAAAAGCCAAAUUACAUCACACUUUGAAAAAGUUUCAAUUUAAAGAUGACACAUACACAUGGCACAUAAAAAAAAAAGAGUCCAUGAUGAAGUUUCCUCACAUUCUGAAGAAGAAGUACACGCACCUAAGCAUCAUCCUCAACAUCAUCAACAACAUCAUCAUCAUCAUUCAAAGAAAGCUCAAGAAGAUAUUGUUGCUGAUAUCCAACAUUAUGGCUUGGAGGUCAAUGAAAGAAUAUUCCUUUGGUUGCAUGCAAAAGUGGGCCAGCUCUCUCAAACCUGGGUGACUCACGGUAUGCUGCUUGUCGCAGUGGUGCUUUAUGCUUUUGCUGGUGCUUUCCUCUUUCGACUUUGUGAGGCCAAUGACAAACCAAUUGAAAUAAAAGACCUUUUUGAAUCAAGACCUGAACUUGUGCAAGUGAUAAUGUCUGAGCAAUCCAAAUUUACUUCAUCAGCAAACACUCCGAAAACGGUUGAAUAUUUUUUUGGUAAUGUGACCAAAGGUUUCCAGGAUUAUGAAUUGGCAAUUUCAGCUAACUAUAACCACAACAUUGUGAUGGCUCGUGGAAAGGAUGAGUUGAACUGGGAAUUCUGGAAUACCGUGUUCUUUUGCUGCACAGUUUUUACAUCAAUUGGUUAUGGUCACAUGUACCCAGUUACAACUAUAGGAAGAUUAUUGACAAUGGUCUAUGCAGUAAUUGGAAUACCACUUUUUCUUAUUGUACUCACAGACUUUGGCUUUGUACUGACAAGAGUUAUUAAAUUUCUUUGGCUAAUUUUUCGCCGUAUUUAUUACACAGGGAGCUUUAGGAAAGAAGAUGAUGAAAUAGAAAGAAGGACUUCGACAGCCUCUGACGAACUUGAAAUGGGGGUGGAGGAUGAUGAGGAUCCAUACUCUUUUUCUUGUGGGAAGAUUGGACAUUCUUUGAGGCUUUUUACUUUUUAUUUAUUUCCAUGACAACUCUUGGUUUGGGUGAUUUUGUGCCAAAGAAUCAAGAUAACAUGAUGAUUUCCGUUGUUUUCAUGGGUUUUGGCUUAUCGUUAAGUUCAAUGUGUAUUAAUGUUGUCAGGGAAAGGCUGGUUGAAUCAAUGAUAGAGGCAAGUUCAAAGAUUGGCGAGAAAUACGGAAUUGAAAUUGAAAUCGACAAAGAUCUUAUUGAGGAUCCAGGAAUGGAGAAAAAGGAAAAGAAUGACAAUGAUACUUAAGAGAGUCAGAGGAAAAAACUCAUUUUUAUUGUUUAAUAGCCUCAAAAUAAUUCAGAUAAUUUUAACUAAUGUUUUGAAACAAAUCUUAAAAACUGUCAUCGAGGUGAACAUAAAAUAUGUAAAUAACUUUUUAAACUCACUUUGCAAAAGUGAGAUGACUUACAAUAGUAAAAAUACUGAAUUUUGUUGUAAAUGUGUCCUAUAUUGGUAAAUGACAUUUGUUUUAAAUUACACUUAUACAUAAAAGUCUCUAUUGGUAUUAUUAUGGUUUCAAUAAGAAAAAAAAGUGCAAUAAAUGUUUAAAUAUA